rnacentral:lncRNA from 1 species
UAGAUAUUUCAAUGAAUAAUCUAGUCUGACCAAAAUCUAUUCUUAUCUAGUAAAGUAAUGCUUUUUUUAUUGUGGCUUUGUAAAGCUCUCAAGGAUUCCUAUAGAAGCAGGGAUUUUUGAUUCAUGUUGAUUGUCUAAAACUAUUAAAAUAAACAAGAACUUUACUGUAGUCAUUUAUUGAAAUAACCAUAAAAAUUAAUUAUACAGCACUGUAGGUCAAAACUAGAUAUACAAUAUCUCAACAAUUUAAAACAAUCCUGAAAACUUAUUGCAAGUUUGCAUUGUGUGCAUCGGACUUGAUUAUUGAAUGUAAAUAUACACCAAAAGCACAUUCAGCAUAAUUAAAUGAAACAAUGCCCUGUAGGCAAUUUCAUUAUGUCAACCAGGUGCUCCGCAGCGCGCAGCUUUAUACGACCCCAGUGGUUGAACCCUGAACAAUUAGGACAAAUUUGGUCACAAUAUUCAAGCUUGAUUCUGUCUGAAUUUGGAUUGUGAUCAAAUUUUUGACAUAAUAUAGGUUUUUGUCACAAAAUUAAUGUGGUCAAAGAUCUUACAAAUCUAUUGCACAAUACUGUGCAAUUGAAGAUUUCUUCUUGAAACUUUUCAAAAUUUUGAAAAAAAGGAAGCCCUUCAAAAAAUGGUAAACAAAAAAUCCCCCCCCACUUUUUGAAACCCCCUUGGAGCAAUAACCCUUAAACUCAAUCCCAUGCUUUCCAUUGCAGUAUUGAACCUUGUAGUACAAUUUCAGAGAGAUCCAUACACUGAAACACAAGUUAUUGUCGAUGAUUGUUUGGAAACUAGAAACAUGCUUCUUUUUGGCCCUUUUUGGCCCCUUAUUCCUAUAUAUUUUGGGCAAUUAACCAAAAACUUAAUCCCAGCCUCCCCUUUGUUAUAUGGUACAUUGUGGUACAAUUUCAGAGAGAUCCAUACAAUUACACAUAAGUAAUGGUCUUGAAACUAGAAAAAUGCUUGUUUUUGACCCUUUUUUUGCCCAUAAUUCCUAAACUUUGGCCCCAUAACCCCUAAAAUGAAUCCAAACAUUAUACUUGUAGUUUUAAACAUUGCGGUAUGAUUUCAGAGCAAUUGAAACACUUCUACACAAGUUAUUAUCCUGAAACUAGCAAAAUGCUUGUUUUGGGCCCCUUUUGGGCCCCUAAUUCCUAAUCGGUUGGGACCAUCAACCCCAAAAUCAUCCCAACCUUCCUUUUGUGGUAUUGAACCUUCUGAAAAAAUUUCAUGAAGAUCUAUUCACCUAAACUAAAGUUAUUAUCCGGAAACCAAUGUGUCUUCGGACGACGACGCAGACAACGCAGACGACGACAUCAUACCAUUAUACGAUCCCAAAAAAUUUUUGGGGUCGUAUAAAAAGUGUUAUGUGAUAACAAAUAUACUAUGCAGGAAUAUAAUGGCACUUUGAAUUUUAUAUUAUAUAAAAAAGAAAAAAACACCUUUCUCGAUGUGUCAGCAUUAACAAUUUAAACCUACCGGAGGUAACAAAACAACUUUCCAUUUCACAAUAUAACAAUAUUUGAUUUUCUUUUUAAUAUUAAUUAUAUUUAACAAAUCAAGGGAACUCUCAUAGCAUUUACAACUAAAUUUACAAAAAUAUUUUAGAUCAAUCACACACUUCAGUAGCUUAAAUCACAGAAAAAGCUUUUAAAGAAGCUGAAUCACUACUGAGACUUCUAUUACACAGGGAAAUAGUUGUCUCAUAUUACAGAGAGAGCAGAAAUUUACAAAGUGUGUCCUUAUUUUUAGAAACAAAAUAGAACUUGGUAACUAUGUUAGAGUUAAGAAAGCUAAAAAUUUCCUAAUCAAAAUAUCAUUUCAUAAGCAGUAAUAUUGUUUACAAUAUAUAUUUUUAAAUUCCAACCUUUUUUUUUCAGGUAAUGCUUUAAUAUUUACUGUUAUGUUACAUACCAAACAGAUCUUAAGGAAAAUCUACAAAUAUAUUCUAAAGUUCUGAAGAUAAGAAAACUAGGGAUUCCUAUGUUAAGUAACAAUAAAAUAAUAUUAUCUUGUUAAAAGGUUAAGUUCAACAUCCUAACAAUGUAUGCAAGAAUGUCAACAAAAUGUCAGUCAACAUGGAUAUCUCUAUAAUAGCUCCUUUUAUUUUUUUUUUUUUUUAAAUUUAUAGAAAAAUAAAAAUUUAAAACUGAUCACAUCAAACCAGCAAAAAAACUGCAAAUGUUGUUAAAAACAUUGUCAGGAAUUAAUUGAUAUACUUCUCAUCUAAUGAUAAAAAUAUGGUAAAAUGAACAAAUUUGUAAAAUCUUAUAUGAACUAGAGGCUCUUUAGAGCCUGUGUCGCUCACCUUGGUCUAUGUGAAUAUUAAACAAAGGAAGCAGAUGGAUUCAUGACAAAAUUGUGUUUUGGUGAUGGUGAUGUGUUUGUACAUCUUACUUUACUGAACAUUCUUGCUGCUUACAAUUAUCUCUAUCUAUAAUGAACUUGGCCCAGUAGUUUCAGUGGAAAAUGUUAGUUAAAAUUUACAAAUUUUAUGAAAAUUG